GGAAGCAGAGGGUGCAGUGAGCUGAGAUCGCCCCACUGGACUCCAGCCUGGGUGACACAGCGAGACCCUGUCUCAAAAAUAAAAUAAAAUAAAUUCCUGUAACUGGAUUUGCUGGAUGAAAGGGUAGGAAACAUGUUAAGAUGUUUGAUACACGUCACCAAACUGCCCUUCAGAAGUCUCCCAUCAAAAGAAUGAAUGUUUCCCCACACCUUCACCAGCACUGGGUUUUGCUUUUUUUUUGUUUGUUUUUGAGACGGAGUCUCACUCUGUUGCUCAGGCUGGAGUGCAGUGGCAUGAUCUUGGCUCCCAAAGUGCUGGGAUUACAGACGUGAGCCACUUCGCCCAGCCAGGUUUUGCUAUUUUUUAAAAAAAAAAUAUUGCCAGUGUAAGAGGUCACUGUUAUUUGGGUUUGCCUUUCUUUGAUCUCCACUGGGUCUGAGCUUUAUUCCUGUGUUUAUUUUGGGCUUGCAUCUAGAAUGGAACAGGAGACUUUGUCUAGGAGCUCUUCAUGUGGUGUUUCCCUGCCUUUGCACAGCAUCACUGGCAUCAAAAGCCAAGUUCUUUUAUUUUAUUUUAUUUUUUUUUUAUUUUGAGACAGAGUCUCACUCUGUCCCCCAGGCUGGAGUGCAGUGGUGCCAUCUCGGCUCACUGCAACCUCCGUCUCCUGGGUUCAAGCAAUUCUCCCUGCCUCAGCCUCCCAAGUAGCUGGGAUUACAGGCACCUGCCACCAUGCCCAGCUAAUUUUUGUGAUUUUUAGUAGAGAAGGGGUUUCGCCAUGUUGGCCGGGCUGGUCUUGAACUCCUGACCUCAGGUGAUCUGUCUGCUUUGGCCUCCCAAAGAGCCGAGAUUACAGGCGUGAGCCACUGUGUCCAGCUGCAAUCUUGUCAUUUUUGAAACAGACCCAAUUAUCCCAUAGAACUGACAUUUAUGGCUACUUUGGAAUAAAUAUUGAAAUGAAACCUCCCAGUCUUGAAACUUGGCAAAGUUACAUUUGUCUUAUCUGAGUUCAUUUCUCAGGAAACCAACCAUCAGGCCUCCCUGAUUGAAACUCACUGGAUCUGGACAAUGAGAUGCCAGACCUCUCACCCUUCAUGAUUUCCUAAGCCAACGCCUGCCUGUUGUUGACCAACUCCUCUUCCUUACCCCUCCCUAAUUCCUGUUUUCCUAGAUGUAGUUACAUUUCUUCCUUGCUAUAUAAACCCCUAAGUUUAAUUGGUCAGGGAGACAGAGUUGGGACUGAUCUCCUUGGAUGCGGUACCCAGUUGAAGCCUUCUUCCCCGGCAAUCCUCAUUGUCUUAGUGAUUGGCUUUCUGUGUUGUAAGCAGCAGGACCUAGCCCGAACCCCUGUGGUUUCAGUAACAAUUUCUUGAAAGAAAAACCAUUAGAACUUCCUGUUUUACCCUCUUCUACCUCCGGCCAGGCAGAUUGGCUCCAGAUUCCACACUCUUGUCUUCCAUGUCAUACAAACACUGACAUUUGCAAAGACAGUGCACCACUGUGUAUUUAAAAAGACAUGGCUGGGUGUGGUGGCUCAUGGCUGUAAUCCCAGAACUUUGGGAACCCAAGGCAGGAGGAUCACUUAAGCCCAGGAGUUUGAGACCAGCCUGGGCAACAUGGCAAAACCCUUUCUCUACAAAAAAUACAAAAAAAUUAAAAUUAGCUGGCUGUGGUGGUGUGCACCUGUAGUCUUAGCUACCCAGGAGGCUGAUGUGGGCUUGAGCCUGGGAGGCUGAGGCUGCAGUGAGCCAUGAUCAUGCCACUGUACUCCAGCCUGGGCAACAGAGUGAGACCCUGUCUCCAAAAAAAAAAGUUCUUAUUCCAAAUGCUUCUAGAACUUUAUCACCAUUAAUUAAUUAAUUCAUUCAACCACUGAUCUUGCUGGGUCAGGCACAGUGGCAGGCUAUGUGAAUGCUGAGGUCAGGGACCGAGGCUUAAACACCCCUCAAAGAGAAAGAGAAAGGCACUGGCGUCUAGAAGUAAGAUGUCAGGAGCAUUCCCCUGUAAUGGGCAUCUUGGAUUCCUGCUUCCAUGAGCAAGUCUUGAUACAUGUCUUCUCAACUGUUUCCCUGCUCCCCAGCCGAAUAGGACAUGUGUCAGGAAGUGGUGGGUCAGGCCAAGUGUGAACAUGCCACUAUUUGGGCUGGCCAGACCCCUCAAGAGCCAGGGCUGGAGGGAGAAGCACUGCCCAUCAGCCAAUGUCUUGAGUGAACUGAUUUAAACCAGGGUCUUCUUGGUUCUAAGUGUCGGUCUCUCCACUGAUAGAGACAGAGGCAGAGGGCAUUUUUUCUUGGAAGGGAAACUGCUUAAAUAAAUCAACCUCAAGUCAGGGGAAAGAGAAUGUUAAAAAAAUACAGAAGUGGAAUGAAUGAACACUCCCAAAAGGAACGAGAAAACUCUCCCCUGCUCACUUGUUCAAACUCUGGGAAUUGCUCCAUGGGGUGUCUCAGAGUUGGUCCCUGGAACCUCAAUUCUGGUUUUCAGUAUUGUCCUGCAGUAUUUGUCCUUUCAGUAUUUGUCCAGGUUUACAGCCUGCCUGCCUGGGGCAGAUGCCGAGGGACUCAUUCUAUGUGGCCCUAGGUUGCAUGAUAAGCUCCACUUGGGCCUCCAUUCCAGACUUCAAAGUAUUUGUUGAUUCAGGCUCACUGCAAAUCAGGCAUGCGCCAUACAGCACCCUACCCUUCCCGUCGAUAUUAUCCCCCAUUCUACACAUGAGCUAGCUGAGGCUCAGAGAGGGCAAGUCACUGGUCCAAGGUCCCACAGCUAGGACACAUUGUUGCUAUUCAAGCGUGGAGAAGAGCAGACUCAGGGGCAGACUUUGGAAAGUUAGCACCCAAGAGAGAGCUGGGGCUUGCCCUGUAUGACUCCAGAGAGAAGCCUGUGAUUCUGGCUUGGGUUUCAUAGCAUGUACACAGUGUCUUCAUCCAAUUGUGUUGCUAUUAGGUUGGUGCAAAAAAAUUGCAGUUUUUUACGUUAAAGUAAUGGCAAAAAACCCAUGACUUUUGCACCAACUUAAUAUACUAAAAUACCACAGACUGGGCAAGUUCUAAGCAAUAGAAAUUUAUCUCUCAAGUUCUGGAGGCUGGAUGUCCAAGAUCCAGGUGCUGCAGGUUUGGUGUCUGGUGAGGGAUGUUCUCUGCUUCCUGUCUUACUCUGGAUUCUUCUGGAAACGACGAGUGCUGUGCUGUCACAUGGCAGAGGGCAAAAAGGAGUGAUUACUAGUUUCCUCCAGCCCUUUCAUAAGGUUGCUAAUUCCACUCUUUUUUUUUUUUUUUUUUUGAGACAGAGUCACUCUGUCUCCCAGGCUGACGUGCAAUGGUGCGAUCUCGGCUCAC
rnacentral:lncRNA from 10 species